rnacentral:rRNA from 1 species
AUUGAACGCUGCGGCAUGCCUUACACAUGCAAGUCGAACGGCAGCACGGGAGCAAUCCUGGUGGCGAGUGGCGAACGGGUGAGUAAAGUAUCGGAACGUGCCCAGUCGUGGGGGAUAACGUAGCGAAAGUUACGCUAAUACCGCAUACGAUCUAUGGAUGAAAGCGGGGGAUCGCAAGACCUCGCGCGAUUGGAGCGGCCGAUAUCAGAUUAGGUAGUUGGUGGGGUAAAGGCUCACCAAGCCGACGAUCUGUAGCUGGUCUGAGAGGACGACCAGCCACACUGGGACUGGGACACGGCCCAGACUCCUACGGGAGUCAGCAGUGGGGAAUUUUGGACAAUGGGCGAAAGCCUGAUCCAGCCAUGCCGCGUGCAGGAUGAAGGCCUUCGGGUUGUAAACUGCUUUUGUACGGAACGAAAAGGUUUGGGCUAAUAAGCUGAGCUCAUGACGGUACCGUAAGAAUAAGCACCGGCUAACUACGUGCCAGCAGCCGCCGUAA